rnacentral:rRNA from 1 species
AGUGAACGCUGGCGGUAGGCCUAACACAUGCAAGUCGAACGGCAGCACAGUAAGAGCUUGCUCUUACGGGUGGCGAGUGGCGGACGGGAGAGGAAUACAUCGGAAUCUACUCUUUCGUGGGGGAUAACGUAGGGAAACUUACGCUAAUACCGCAUACGACCUACGGGUGAAAGCAGGGGAUCUUCGCACCUUGCGCGAUUGAAUGAGCCGAUGUCGGACUAGUUAGUUGGCGGGGUAAAGGCCCACCAUGGCGAGGAUCGGUAGCUGGUCUGAGAGGAGGGUCAGCGACACUGGAGCGGAGACACGGUCCAGACUCCUGCGGGAGGCAGCAGAGGGGAAUAUUGGACAAUGGGCGCGAGCCUGAUCCAGCCAGACCGCGUGUGUGAAGAAGGCCUUCGGGUUGUAAAGCCCGUUUGUUGGGAAAGAAAAGCAGCAGGUUAAUACCCCGCUGUUCUGACGGUACCCAAAGAAUAAGCACCGGCUAACUUCGUG